rnacentral:sRNA from 1 species
AACAGAUGGCGUGCAGGGCGGUCGGCAUUUCCUCCGGAAAGGAGGUGAUGCCCAUGGAAGUAUUUCAAGCUUUGAUGUUGAUGGUUUCCUUUGCGACUUUGGUCGUUUUGAUACUAUCAUUUCAUAAAAGGAAAUAGACCGCCAACCUGCAAAUGUAUAACGGUCUAUUCCGUUUACUAAUGCCAACCGCCCUCAAAGCGGCUGUUGUGAGGAAUCAUGUAUAGAGCAUGGUUC